GUCGAUAGUGUAGUGGUUAGCACGGUCCCUGGUAUAGACAGAACGCGUGUUCAAUUCCCGCUCGGAUUUUGCA